rnacentral:ncRNA from 1 species
GAUUGAGGUGGUAUACCUGUCAAACAGCAACACAGAUGUCCUAAGGUGAACUCAGAGAGGACAGAAACCUCCCAUGGCAAAAGAGCAAAAGCUUGAUCUUGAUUUCAGUAUGAAUACAGACUGUGAAAAAAGAG